AGCGAACGCUGGCGGCAGGCCUAACACAUGCAAGUCGAACGAACUCUUCGGAGUUAGUGGCGGACGGGUGAGUAACACGUGGGAACGUGCCUUUAGGUUCGGAAUAACUCAGGGAAACUUGUGCUAAUACCGAAUGUGCCCUUCGGGGGAAAGAUUUAUCGCCUUUAGAGCGGCCCGCGUCUGAUUAGCUAGUUGGUGAGGUAAAGGCUCACCAAGGCGACGAUCAGUAGCUGGUCUGAGAGGAUGAUCAGCCACAUUGGGACUGAGACACGGCCCAAAGGCAGGGGGGGGGCAGGGGGGGGGCAUGUCGCGAAAGGGGAGACAGGCGGAAGCAGCCGGGGGGGGAGAAGGAGAAAGGUGUGAGUAGUGGAAAUUUCUUACGCGGGGAAGGAGAAGGUGGGGACGGGGAGAAGAAGCGCGGGCUACCUGCGUGCAAGGAGCGGGGGUGAGGGGCGGAAGAAACCGUCGAACC
rnacentral:rRNA from 1 species